rnacentral:rRNA from 1 species
ACGGAAGGCAGCAGUGGGGAAUAUUGCACAAUGGGGGAAACCCUGAUGCAGCGACGCCGCGUGAGUGAAGAAGUUAUUCGUAAUGUAAAGCUCUAUCAGCAGGGAAGAAAAUGACGGUACCUGACUAAGAAGCCCCGGCUAACUACGUGCCAGCAGCCGCGGUAAUACGUAGGGGGCAAGCGUUAUCCGGAUUUACUGGGUGUAAAGGGAGCGUAGACGGCUUAGCAAGUCUGAUGUGAAAGGCAGGGGCUAAACUCCUGGACUGCAUUGGAAACUGUUAAGCUAGAGUGCCGGAGAGGUAAGCGGAAUUCCUAGUGUAGCGGUGAAAUGCGUAGAUAUUAGGAGGAACACCAGUGGCGAAGGCGGCUUACUGGACGGUAACUGACGUUGAGGCUCGAAAGCGUGGGGAGCAAACAGGAUUAGAUACCCUGGUA